CUGUGAUGAAAGGAUGUUGAGAACUGUUACCUAUUAAUUGUAUUAUUAUGUGGCGGCUGUGGCUAUGGACUUUUGUCACUAACUGUGCCGCUGGUUUUGCUUUGGAUUGUACAAAAAGUGGACUGAUCUGACGUGCUGUUUGAUAGAAUUGUUCUCUCAUGUGAUGCUUUUAUGCUUUCUUUACGUAAUAUUCUUCCCCUUUUAAUUUCUAUACAUAUUUUUUAUAUCAUUUUUACUCUUUUUCUUCCACUGUACAUGAAGAUUUCUGAUUUUUUUAUGGGACAUGAUUUUUUUCUAUUUUUUCUCAAGGUGAUUUCCGAUAUUAGUUUGGUAGUUUUGUUUGUUUUGGUGGGGUUAUAUUUAUUUGAUUCAAGGUUGGACUAAACUCAUUUAAAUUUUACAAAAAUGUACAAUUAUCAAAUAAUAAAUUCUAUACCCCGUUGCAACGUACGGGCAUGUUUUGCUAGUAUAUAUCUAUACCUAUCUAUAAAGAGCCAAAAUUUCAGUUUGCUAAAUAUUUUCUUUUGCCCCCUAAUCCUGUUAGUGCCCCCUAAUCCUGUUAGUGUUCUGUUUGGUUUACCGAUGGCUUCCUCGCUCCAACGUUUCUAAAGGGGUAAAACAAAAUAAAAAACAUUCUAGGGUUC
rnacentral:lncRNA from 1 species